UACGGGGGGGGCAAGCGUUGUUCGGAAUUACUGGGCGUAAAGGGCGCGUAGGCGGCUCGCUAAGUCGGAUGUGAAAACUCUGGGCUCAACCCAGAGCCUGCAUUCGAAACUGACGAGCUGGAGUUAUGGAGGGGAAAGCGGAAUUCCUGGUGUAGCGGUGAAAUGCGUAGAUAUCAGGAGGAACACCGGUGGCGAAGGCGGCUUUCUGGACAGAAACUGACGCUGAUGCGCGAAAGCUAGGGGAGCAAACAGG
rnacentral:rRNA from 1 species